AGUGAACGCUGGCGGUAGGCCUAACACAUGCAAGUCGAACGGCAGCACAGUAAGAGCUUGCUCUUACGGGUGGCGAGUGGCGGACGGGUGAGGAAUACAUCGGAAUCUACUUUUUCGUGGGGGAUAACGUAGGGAAACUUACGCUAAUACCGCAUACGACCUACGGGUGAAAGCAGGGGAUCUUCGGACCUUGCGCGAUUGAAUGAGCCGAUGUCGGAUUAGCUAGUUGGCGGGGUAAAGGCCCACCAAGGCGACGAUCCGUAGCUGGUCUUAGAGGAUGAUCAGCCACACUGGAACUGAGACACGGUCCAGACUCCUACGGGAGGCAGCAGUGGGGAAUAUUGGACAAUGGGCGCAAGCCUGAUCCAGCCAUACCGCGUGGGUGAAGAAGGCCUUCGGGUUGUAAAGCCCUUUUGUUGGGAAAGAAAAGCAGCAGGUUAAUACCCCGCUGUCCUGACGGUACCCAAAGAAUAAGCACCGGCUAACUUCGUG
rnacentral:rRNA from 1 species